rnacentral:rRNA from 1 species
GUGCCAGCAGCCGCGGUAAUACGUAGGGGGCAAGCGUUAUCCGGAUUUACUGGGCGUAAAGCGCGUUAAGGCGGCCGGCUAAGUUGGUGGUGAAAUUCCAGGGCUCAACCCUGGAACUGCCUCCAAUACUGGUCGGCUCGAGUGCGGGAGAGGAAGGUGGAAUUCCCGGUGUAGUAGUGAAAUGCGUAGAUAUCGGGAGGAACACCAGUGGCGAAGGCGGCCUUCUGGCCCGCAACUGACGCUGUAGCGCGAAAGCGUGGGGAGCGAACGGGAUUAGAUACCCCCGUAGUCC